rnacentral:lncRNA from 1 species
CAAUUGUCAUGGUACUGAAGGCCCACCUGGAUAAUCCAGAAUGAUUUAUCUUGAGAUCCCUAAUUUAACACAUCUGCUGAGACCCUUUUCCCAAAUAAGGUCACAUUCACAGAUUCUAGGGAUUAGGACAUGAGCAUAUCUGUUGGGAGCUGCCAUCAAUGCACUACAGUGAUAUUUAUAUGGUGAUCUGGCACACUGGCCACGGAGCGGGGCUGGGGUUCUAGAGCCCACACUUUAAAAGGUUGGAGUCAUGUGGCUCUGAGGGCUGGCUCAGUACAACCUGUGACCCUGAUCAUCGGCUGGUGGCUAACACCAUUCAUCUCCCCUGCGUGCCUCUAUAUUUUGCCCUGUGUUCUCCAAAUAAAAGGCAAGCACACUCAAAGCUGCAGACAUCUGUAGGAUGUGUUACUGCUGACAUCAGAUGAAGACACUGCCCUGGAGACACAGACACUGCACUGGAGAGUGAGGAGGAUCAAGGAACAGAAGAAGCUCCUGAAGGAGAUGAAAGAUAACUUAGCUCUCCAGACUUUCAUCACCUAUGGAUUCUUCUUCAUGCUCCGAAGAGGUCAAGUCUUCCUGGAAAGAGUGCAGUGGAAUCCUCAGGAUGCAGAAGCAGUUGAGAACAACCUACAGCAACAGCCAUGGUGCUGGGAAUUCAGCUCCAGCAGAAAUACCCAGUGUCGGGGUGGGGGAGGUUUCCCCACCAAACCACUGACCUUGCACCCCGUUUCCUGCUUCCAAGUCUCCUUCUAUUGUGUGAACUGCCCUAAUUAUAUCCAAUAAAUUCCCUUUUGUCUCAGUAAGCCAGGAUCAUUUUCUGUUGCUUGCAACCAAGAGGUCUAAUUACCAUAAUAUAAUUACCAUCUUUUUCAGAUGAAGAAACUGAGACUUGGAGAUUAAAUAAUGCCUUAAAUGUGUGAUAACCAGCUAUUAAGAUGAACUCCAAUGAUCUUCACCUCUUAGAUGUUUACACGUUGGUGUAGUCUCCUCCAAUAUUUAAUCAGGACUGAUCUGUGUAGAGUACGGCAGAGGUAAUGGUAUGUUGACUUCUGAGUCUAGAUCACAAAGAGCAUUGAGGCUUCUUCCUUCCUCUCUUGGAUGGCUUACUCUGGGCAGAGCCAGCCACCUACACUAUGAGGAUGUACAAAUCAUGUCUUUUAUUUUUGUAUUUUCAUGCUUUGACAUCUCUGACCUUAAUGACCUAAAGGGACUGCCCCUCCAAGGGUAAGCCAAUUCCUAG